rnacentral:lncRNA from 1 species
UUUUUUUCCUUUUCAGUUACAUUUUUUAUUUGUUGAAUUCUCUUCCAGAAUAUCAUCAGUGCUAUAUACAGCAAAUGCAUGCAUCUGCAUUUACAUAAUUUUGUAUCAUAUUCUUGCCUGAGUUGCUAUUCAGUCAUGAUAAAUCUAUGCAAUCUUUAUCACACCUGGCACUGAUCUUUAAGAACCUCACACUGCACUGUAAGCAAGGAUGGAUUGCACCAUCCAAGACAGCACUCGUUUUGUGCCGCACCAUAUCAAUGGCCUUCCUCAAGGGACGUUCAGCUCCAUCACUGUUGUUCUUGGCCCUUUGCACUGCCACUGAACAAGUCAGUUAGUAAUCCAAGCUCCACUGUGUCUUCAGCCAUGAACAUAAAACAAAACAACCAAGGAAAACAGCAAUCUGCAAAUUGCAUUAAUUUACACAGUGUAGGAGUGCAACAUCCCACACAACAGCAAAUCCAGACACAUAGUUUAUGCUUUCAUGCAGCAGAACUGUGGAGGACUGGCAGGUACUCCAGCAGACUCCAAAGAAUGGUGCUCCUCUUCUCCCCUCCACCCUGCCCCUCUGCCCUCCAGUUCCUGUUCCUGUCAAUCUUGCCAUCCCACCAUGACUGCUAUGGUGUGGUGAAGCUCACUCAAUGAGCAGAAGAUCCAUUGAGGAUUUGCUGAAAAGUCACGGCUAGGUAGAACUAAUUGCAUUUAUUAUAAAUAUUCCUAUAUUCGUAGUGAGCCAAAUGCUGACUCAGUAAAACUUCUGAUCUAAUUAAGCCAGAUGCUGUUCUUAUUUAUAGAUAUAGUCCUUAAUAAUUUGUGAAGCUACUAACGUAGAUUUUAUAUAUGCACAUUUUUGCUAGUAAAUCCAUUCUUAACAAAACUUCACUAAUGGUAGCUAAAUACCAAGAAAUGCAUCAAGUUUUGUCACUGAUGAAGUUCCAACAAAAAGUGUCAGAAAUCUUGCAGUUCUGUACAGUUUGCUGCCUUUUAAAAAGUGGAGUGUGAAUUUCAGCUAGAAAGAAACAACUUUUCACAAAGAGACAUCCACCAGGGUAUCAGCUAUUCUAGAACCUGAAUCCUGUGCCUAAAGAAGACAAGAAUCUCUCAAGCAAAGCCCCAUUCUCUGUUCAGAAAACACUCUCUGGAGAUAUCAUAAAACCUUUCUAUGGUUAUUUAAAUGUUCUCUUUAAUUAAUAAUUUUCUAUUCUUCUAAUAUUCUCUGUUGGCUUUGACCACCCUUAGCCUUGGUAUAAGAAGGUCCCAAUGAGCAGGGGGAGCGUAGUACUGGGCCUACGAGACCUAGCACCUAAGACCACUAUGUCAGCAUCCUUAAGCCUGUUUCUUCAUUUCUGUUUGUUUUCCUUACUAUGCUUCGCUCAAAAUGCCAUCUCUUUACGUUACUAUUGUCACAGUGUGACCUGUCUGCAGCAAAAGCAGAGUGUAGACCUAGACUUAAAUAGGAUUUCCAGGAGAAGUAGUAGACAGAAACAACAUAAACAUAAGUAGAAUGAGCCUGGACAUAACCUGAUUAAUUUACUUCAUAUUGUGGGGAUAUUUCAGUGAUGUAGGACACAUGAAAUGCACUUUUUCUUAGAAAACAAGGAGGGUUCCUCUGCAAACUUCAUUUUCCUGAUAAUUCUAAGAGACUGCACUUUAGAAGAUUGUGAAUGUUAGAGAGGUGAGCAUGAUUUCAAUUUUCCAUGGGACGAUGUCAUUCUUUUGUUUUAAUUCUUUUCCUGAGAGGAGCUGUAGAACGUGGCAGGUCCCUUAAAGGUCAGAGAAGCUCAA